AAUUGAAAUUCCUUCUUUGAACUGCAGAACGUAGUUUUGUUCUUACCUGUCUUAAGAUCCAUUUGCAGAUGAUUCUGUUGGCAUCUGGUUUAUGGUUUACACGUAUCCACAGAUCCGAGAAGGAUGAGGAAGCUCUUGAUAUCAAAUACUCCCUCUGUCCCAUAAUGUAAGACGUUUUUUGGCACUACACUAGUGGCAAAAAAUGUCUUACAUUAUGGGACGGAGAGAGUAGUACAUAAUUAAUGAUAUCAAAUGGUCACUGCAAAAUUGAGCUAAUGGGUUUUAAAAUGUUUGAUUUUUAUUUUUAGCUUAAAUGUUGCCCUGGCUGCUUCAAACCUCGUAUUCAGUAAUCUGGUUUGCUGCCUCUGAACCUGAACGAACAGCAUGCUAAUAUUCUCGUCUUAACGGUACCAGUAUUUUUUAUGUUUGGCGCACAGAUUCAUGUUGAAGUCAUCCCUCUCUUUUCUAGUUAAUGAUACAACAAUUGUCUUAACCCUAUUGCAAUUUAUGCUCUUCAUGCAUUACAUACUGUUUUUAAUAAGUACAACUGAAUCAUAUUUGAUGUCGCAUGCCAUGGUCCAUCUGAUGGAUUUCUGGCUGCAAAUGACAGCGUCAUGAUGUUGUCAAUGGUGUGGUUGAGGUAGAAGGUGUAACUAAAGAUGAUGCAGGUGAAACUGCCGCAGAUCAGAAAGAGGAAAAAAGGCGUGGCAGAUUUCAGGUUGAGUGUCAUGAAGAAACAUGAAAUCCUAGCUGAGAGGAAAAAUUGUGCCAGAUUUCUGGUUUAAUGAAAUGGACGACCAUGAAAUCCUAGUUGAGGAGGUGGGACACUGCAUAUUUUUGCAAUAGAAGUUCCUUGUCUGAACUGUCGAAUGUAUUUUUACUCCACCUUCCACCUGUCUUCAGAUCCAUUUGCACACAUUUUUACUGUUUGGCAUCUAGUUUAUGGUUUACAUGUACCCAGAUCCAUGAGAGGGUUCCUGGAAAUCCAGGAGAGGGUUGAGGAAGCUCUCAAGUACCUCAAGGACAUCAAACGGUACAGAAUUAGUGAGCCAAAGGGUUUCAAGCUUGAUACUUC